AAUAAAAAUCGGUGGUGCAGUAUUCUAGUCAGAAGCAAAUAUACUGAAGGCGGGGCUAAAAGACCGUCGACGAGCAUAUCGAUGAAGUUUCUGGUGCUGGCUUUCGUUGCCCAAACGAGGGCUUGUGCUGGAAGUUAAGAUUGAUGGGUAAGGCAUAACGGCAUAUGUUCUAUCCCCAUCUUUCGUGGAGACUCUACAGGGUGGUUUCGCCUUAAUGGCGCAACUACUCUCUGAGAUUAAACCUGCUAUGCGGUGAAUUUGAAAGCUGUGUACAGCGUAGCUUGUUUUGAGUGGGAUUUUGGGAGUAUUGAACGACAAAACGUUUGUUGGCCAACAACGUUUUUCGACUGCUUUACGAAAUGAAUUCUGCAAAAGAAACUAAAGUACGUGGGCUUCUGCAAAGGAAAUCUUCUAGACUGUUUGCACCUAUCGGAGAUUAUAGUACGGACUAAGUGGCGAUUCAGUUGCACGUGCGGUAACGUCGUGCACGCGAAACGAAAAGGAAACUGCUUCUUCGGCGACGGGAAGUUUUUGCGUGGGAAAUCCUACUGAACCUAUGCCGUAAGGUUUAUCCGAUAGGUUACCACCUUUUUUAUG
rnacentral:sRNA from 1 species